CGCGAGACUUUCGGAGAGCGUUAAAAUACACGAGCCGCAGGCGAGUGUAUUUUUACGCUUUCCGAAAGUCGAGCAACAUCCCAAGUGCAUGGAUCACGCUAUCCUGCUUGGAAAACCAUUUGGUAAUUGUUUUAUAAAAUAACUACAGUGAAACAAUGACAUUUUGUGAAUCCCGCGAAGGCAUUUUAAUUCCUCGUGCAGGAUAGCCUGAUCCUGCACGGCUAUUGACCAAUCAAAUUGCG